rnacentral:rRNA from 16 species
GUAAUUGAAAAGCAGAAAAUUGCACUUAAAUUUUUUUAUUACCAGUUACAAAUAAUUUGUAGUUUUAUAGCUCAAUUCAUAUUUCGACGUUACUACUUCAAUAAUCUUUCGAAGAUAUAAAAAUAUACAUAGUAGACUCAUGAUAUUCUUUGUUAAUUGGUGUCACUAAAUUGAAACAGGAUACAAGAGCCAGCAUAUUUGUUCUACUUUAAUAAUUGGUAGUUGAGAUCAUUGUCAAUCCGUCUUGAAACCGCGCUCGAGUAUUCCAAGUAGAAAGCAAGCAAUAAUACUCGAUUUCUACUACUGGCAGAAAACGUAUAUACUUAUGUGCAUAU